CCUACGGGGGGCUGCAGUGGGGAAUAUUGCACAAUGGGCGCAAGCCUGAUGCAGCCAUGCCGCGUGUGUGAAGAAGGCCUUCGGGUUGUAAAGCACUUUCAGCGGGGAGGAAGGCGGUGAGGUUAAUAACCUCAUCGAUUGACGUUACCCGCAGAAGAAGCACCGGCUAACUCCGUGCCAGCAGCCGCGGUAAUACGGAGGGUGCAAGCGUUAAUCGGAAUUACUGGGCGUAAAGCGCACGCAGGCGGUCUGUCAAGUCGGAUGUGAAAUCCCCGGGCUCAACCUGGGAACUGCAUUCGAAACUGGCAGGCUAGAGUCUUGUAGAGGGGGGUAGAAUUCCAGGUGUGGCGGUGAAAUGCGUAGAGAUCUGGAGGAAUACCGGUGGCGAAGGCGGCCCCCUGGACAAAGACUGACGCUCAGGUGCGAAAGCGUGGGGAGCAAACAGGAUUAGAUACCCUAGUAGUC
rnacentral:rRNA from 1 species